rnacentral:rRNA from 1 species
GGCCUGGUUGGGUGGUCCGCUUAACGGCGUGUACUGUCUGACUGGGUCUUACCUCUUGGUGAGCCGGCGUGCCCUUAACUGGGCUGCGUCGGGGAACCAGGACUUUUACCUUGAGAAAAUUAGAGUGUUCAAAGCAGGCCUAUGCCUGAAUACAUUAGCAUGGAAUAAUAGAAUAGGACU